UACGAAGGGGGCUAGCGUUGUUCGGAAUUACUGGGCGUAAAGCGCGCGUAGGUGGAUUGUUUAGUCGGGGGUGAAAUCCCGGGGCUCAACCCCGGAACUGCCUCCGAUACUGGCAAUCUAGAGUUCGAGAGAGGUGAGUGGAAUUCCGAGUGUAGAGGUGAAAUUCGUAGAUAUUCGGAGGAACACCAGUGGCGAAGGCGGCUCACUGGCUCGAUACUGACGCUGAGGUGCGAAAGCGUGGGGAGCAAACAGG
rnacentral:rRNA from 1 species